rnacentral:rRNA from 1 species
GGGUCUGCGUUUCAUUAGCUANCNUNNUAGGGUAAUGGCCUACCAAGGCAACGAUGAGUAGCUGGUCUGAGAGGAUGAUCAGCCACACUGGAACUGAAACACGGUCCAGACUCCUACGGGAGGCAGCAGUGGGGAAUAUUGCGCAAUGGGCGAAAGCCUGACGCAGCAACGCCGUGUGAGGGAUGAAGGCUUUCGGGUCGUAAACCUCUGUCGGAAGGGAAGAACGGGCAUUGGUCUAAUAGGCCUUUGUUUUGACGGUACCUUUAGAGGAAGCACCGGCUAACUCCGUGCCAGCAGCCGCGGUAAUACGGAGGGUGCAAGCGUUAUUCGGAAUUACUGGGCGUAAAGCGCACGUAGGCCGCUUUGUAAGUCAGGGGUGAAAUCCCACGGCUCAACCGUGGAACUGCCCUUGAAACUGCAGAGCUUGAAUCCUGGAGAGGGUGGCGGAAUUCCUGGUGUAGGAGUGAAUCCGUANAUAUCAGGAGGAACACCGGUGGCGA